rnacentral:rRNA from 1 species
CAGUCGCCACGGUAAUACGUAGGGGGCAAGCGUUGUCCGGAAUUAUUGGGCGUAAAGCGCGCGCAGGCGGUUUUUUAAGUCUGGUGUCUAAGUGCGGGGCUUAACCCCGUGACGCACUGGAAACUGGGAGACUUGAGUGCAGAAGAGGAGAGCGGAAUUCCACGUGUAGCGGUGAAAUCCGUAGAUAUUGGGAAGAACACCGGUGGCGAAGGCGGCCAUCUGGGACAACACUGACGCUGAGGCACGAAAGCGUGGGGAGCAAACAGGAUUAGAUACCCCGGUAGUCCCUGUCUCUUAUACA